GCCAGUGUGGUGCUGUGGACUGAGUGCUGGACUAUGACUCUGGAGACCAGGGUUCUAAUCCCCGCUGAGCCA